rnacentral:rRNA from 1 species
GAAAUUACGCCUUCCAUGAAGCCGGAAUUGCUGUAAUGGCAGGUCAGCAUACUGCCGUGAAUACGUUCCCGGGCCUUGUACACACCGCCCGUCACACCAUGAGAGUUGGAAAUACCCGAAGCCUGUGAGCUAACUGUAAAGAGGCAGCAGUCGAAGGUAGAGCCAAUGAUUGGGGUGAAGUCGUAACAAGGUAAC